AUUGAACGCUGGCGGCAGGCCUAACACAUGCAAGUCGAGCGGAUGAAGGGAGCUUGCUCCUGGAUUCAGCGGCGGACGGGUGAGUAAUGCCUAGGAAUCUGCCUGGUAGUGGGGGAUAACGUCCGGAAACGGGCGCCAAUACCGCAUACGUCCUGAGGGAGAAAGUGGGUGAUCUUCGGACCUCACGCUAUCAGAUGAGCCUAGGUCGGAUUAGCUAGUUGGUGGGGUAAAGGCCUACCAAGGCGACGAUCCGUAACUGGUCUGAGAGGAUGAUCAGUCACACUGGAACUGAGACACGGUCCAGACUCCUACGGGAGGCAGCAGUGGAGAAUAUUAGACAAUGGGCGAAAGCCUGAUCCAGCAAUGCCGCGUGUGUGAAGAAGAUCUUCGGAUUGUAAAGCACUUUAAGUUGGGAGGAAGGGCAGUAAGUUAAUACCUUGCUGUUUUGACGUUACCAACAGAAUAAGCACCGGCUAACUUCGUG
rnacentral:rRNA from 1 species